UUAGAUCUGUCCCAUUCCACGAAGGAUUUAAGGCUAAAGAUUUAAGUUGUGAAGAUGAUAAUGGAUUGACUCUAUGAAUGGCCACAUUUUUUUAUGCCUCCCUUUUCCCUUGUCCUUGAGCAGUGUCCUCCGACACUGACUCUGUGCUUGGCCCUGUGGCUUGCUUUGGCCAAUGGUACAGCAGCAAACUUGAUGCAAACACAACUUGAAAAAGAAGAGGACAGCCAAGUCAUCCCAGCCAAGGCCACCCUGGACCAGCCAGCCUCUUGCCAAGCUGCCAGUGACCACAGAGUCCAAUUAACAACAGCCAGUCCUGGCCCAGGGUGGAGCCAAGACUCUGAGGAGAGGGCUGAACUGUGAACCUAGAAGUACCAUCUCCCCCUGCACACACCUUUGGUCAAGUUGACCCCAAGAAGAAGGACAAGUCCUCUGCACGGCGAUGAGGCCAUACACACAGUCUGUGGCCCGGCUUUGGGAGACUGAUGGGACAAAGGAUGUUUUGCACGAUCCUUGGUCUCUGAGCAAAUAUAUACAUGGGUUAACACAAAGGCUCUCUUUUUGAAAAAUGUGACUGUGAAAGUGUGCCCUCCCACAUAUUCCAGGCAUAACACAGGAGUGACUGCAUGUUUGGGGACAGUGCGGAGGCCACUCUGAUUAGAUCAGAGGAUGUGGACUGGUUCAUGAUGUAAAAGCUGAAGGGAGGCCGGGCACAGUGGCUCACGCCUGUAAUCCUAGCACUUUCGGAGGCCAAGGUGGGUGGAUCACGAGGUCAGGAGAUCGAGACCAUCCUGGCUAACAAGGUGAAACCCCGUCUCUACUAAAAAUACAAAAAUUAGCCAGGCGUGGUGGCAGGCGCCUGUAGUCCCAGCUACUGGGGAGGCUGAGUACUGGGGAGGCUGAGGCAGGAGAAUGACG
rnacentral:lncRNA from 1 species